AUUUUGUGCUCGUAAAAGUUCGCUCAAAUCAAAUGGUGUGGUGAACUAUCAGCAUAUUUACUACUUCAUUUUAUCAUCAACUAUCCAUCAUUUUCUCAUGCUCGUGAAGAGUAGCUCGUCAAACCAAUAUUGCAAAGGAUGCUGGCAUGGAUGGAUGCAAGGCAAUCUUCAUGUCAUUUCGACUGAGCCUUUCAAAUAGUGUGAUUUUGAGUUGAAGAGUGAGCCCGCAACUAAGACUGCAAAGAAUGCUUGCCAAAAAAGAUCAUUCUUCGCCAACUCAUCAUUGUCUGUAAGUUGAUGGGAAGUGCAGCAUCUUCCUCACAACUGUGUUGAAACGAUGGAAAACAACAAAUUCAGCAGUAUUCUCACUAUUUCUACCUUGCCAGUCACCACACCUUGACGUGAACCUCAACACCACUAUGCCUCAGACUACCAAGCCUAAGUAAAAAAAGCCCUUCUUCACCUUGCCCGU